GACAAACCAGAAGCUCAGCUAUAAAAGGGGCAGAUUCAUGUAGAUCGACUGAGACUCCACAACCUACAGACCUCAGCUCACUCUGUUGGACACCCGGGUCUUGGAUUCCGACCGCUGAAGAUGAAGUACCUCACUCUGCUUCUUGUGCUGUCGUUGGUCGUCCUCAUGGCCGAACCCAGCGACGCUAACCCCCGUUUUACUCGCCCGGACAACCUUUACGUUCCGUCGAAGAUCUGCCGGCCCAUCGGGGAAGGGAAGCAGGACCAACUCGCCGCUCAACGCGCAUACGACGAAGAACAGGUUGCCGUUCGCUGAAACGACCUGAAAACAUCUACGAAAACAAACCUGAAGGAACGGGCUUCAAACCAUAUAUGAGACGAAAAGAAACGCUUCUGGCUACAUAAUAAAAUAAUGUAAUGUUACUAUUCUGAGUGAUGGAACUGGGUAGAAAAUAAAGCAGCUUUUGACCUGAACUCCAAA